CGUCGGCGGAUUAUUAAAAAUACAGUAAAAGGCUGAGGUUGACCCUCUUCAAUCUGUAUUCACUGAUAAUCUGAGUUUUGAGGGCGGUUUAUUGAAUUCUUGAAGUAAGGGUGAAAUUGUUGAUAUUGGAAGACAUUCGAUAGCGAAAGCAAGAACCGAUUCAGAUCUGACGCUAGGUACUAAAGUAUGGGGAUAAAGAGGAUUAGAGACCUCGUAGUCCAUACCUUAAACAAUGAGUGUUCAACAUCUUUUGGUUGUGACCAUCUGGGGUUUAAAGCUAACGCGCAAAACACCGCCUGGGGAAUGUGGCCGCAAGGUUAAACUCAAAGGAAUUGACGGAGACUUAUACAAGG
rnacentral:rRNA from 1 species